rnacentral:rRNA from 1 species
GUAAGGAGUUUUCGGCAAUGGGGGGAACCCUGACCGAGCAACGCCGCGUGAGUGAUGACGGCCCUAUGGGUUGUAAAGCUCUGUUAUAAGGGACGAACAGCUUUGCUAGGAAAUGAGCAGAGUCUGACGGUACUUUAUCAGAAAGCCACGGCUAACUACGUGCCAGCAGCCGCGGUAAUACGUAGGUGGCAAGCGUUAUCCGGAAUUAUUGGGCGUAAAGAGUGAGCAGGCGGCAGAUUAAGUUUGAGGUUAAAGCGUGGGGCUCAACCCCAUAAAGCCUUGAAAACUGAUCAGCUAGAGUACGAGAGAUGUGAAGGGAACUCCAUGUGUAGCGGUGAAAUGCGUAGAUAUAUGGAAGAACACCAGUGGCGAAGGCGCUUCACAAGCUCGAAACUGACGCUCAGUCACGAAAGCGUGGGUAGCAAAUAGGAUUAGAAACCCUGGUAGUCC